GGGACACGUGGUAUCCUGUCUGAAUAUGGGGGGACCAUCCUCCAAGGCUAAAUACUCCUGACUGACCGAUAGUGAACCAGUACCGUGAGGGAAAGGCGAAAAGAACCCCGGCGAGGGGAGUGAAAAAGAACCUGAAACCGUGUACGUACAAGCAGUGGGAGCCUCUUUUAUGGGGUGACUGCGUACCUUUUGUAUAAUGGGUCAGCGACUUAUAUUCUGUAGCAAGGUUAACCGAAUAGGGGAGCCGAAGGGAAACCGAGUCUUAACUGGGCGUUAAGUUGCAGGGUAUAGACCCGAAACCCGGUGAUCUAGCCAUGGGCAGGUUGAAGGUUGGGUAACACUAACUGGAGGACCGAACCGACUAAUGUUGAAAAAUUAGCGGAUGACUUGUGGCUGGGGGUGAAAGGCCAAUCAAACCGGGAGAUAGCUGGUUCUCCCCGAAAGCUAUUUAGGUAGCGCCUCGUGAAUUCAUCUCCGGGGGUAGAGCACUGUUUCGGCAAGGGGGUCAUCCCGACUUACCAACCCGAUGCAAACUGCGAAUACCGGAGAAUGUUAUCACGGGAGACACACGGCGGGUGCUAACGUCCGUCGUGAAGAGGGAAACAACCCAGACCGCCAGCUAAGGUCCCAAAGUCAUGGUUAAGUGGGAAACGAUGUGGGAAGGCCCAGACAGCCAGGAUGUUGGCUUAGAAGCAGCCAUCAUUUAAAGAAAGCGUAAUAGCUCACUGGUCGAGUCGGCCUGCGCGGAAGAUGUAACGGGGCUAAACCAUGCACCGAAGCUGCGGCAGCGACGCUUAUGCGUUGUUGGGUAGGGGAGCGUUCUGUAAGCCUGUGAAGGUGUGCUGUGAGGCAUGCUGGAGGUAUCAGAAGUGCGAAUGCUGACAUAAGUAACGAUAAAGCGGGUGAAAAGCCCGCUCGCCGGAAGACCAAGGGUUCCUGUCCAACGUUAAUCGGGGCAGGGUGAGUCGACCCCUAAGGCGAGGCCGAAAGGCGUAGUCGAUGGGAAACAGGUUAAUAUUCCUGUACUUGGUGUUACUGCGAAGGGGGGACGGAGAAGGCUAUGUUGGCCGGGCGACGGUUGUCCCGGUUUAAGCGUGUAGGCUGGUUUUCCAGGCAAAUCCGGAAAAUCAAGGCUGAGGCGUGAUGACGAGGCACUACGGUGCUGAAGCAACAAAUGCCCUGCUUCCAGGAAAAGCCUCUAAGCAUCAGGUAACAUCAAAUCGUACCCCAAACCGACACAGGUGGUCAGGUAGAGAAUACCAAGGCGCUUGAGAGAACUCGGGUGAAGGAACUAGGCAAAAUGGUGCCGUAACUUCGGGAGAAGGCACGCUGAUAUGUAGGUGAAGUCCCUUGCGGAUGGAGCUGAAAUCAGUCGAAGAUACCAGCUGGCUGCAACUGUUUAUUAAAAACACAGCACUGUGCAAACACGAAAGUGGACGUAUACGGUGUGACGCCUGCCCGGUGCCGGAAGGUUAAUUGAUGGGGUCAGCGCAAGCGAAGCUCUUGAUCGAAGCCCCGGUAAACGGCGGCCGUAACUAUAACGGUCCUAAGGUAGCGAAAUUCCUUGUCGGGUAAGUUCCGACCUGCACGAAUGGCGUAAUGAUGGCCAGGCUGUCUCCACCCGAGACUCAGUGAAAUUGAACUCGCUGUGAAGAUGCAGUGUACCCGCGGCAAGACGGAAAGACCCCGUGAACCUUUACUAUAGCUUGACACUGAACAUUGAGCCUUGAUGUGUAGGAUAGGUGGGAGGCUUAGAAGUGUGGACGCCAGUCUGCAUGGAGCCGACCUUGAAAUACCACCCUUUAAUGUUUGAUGUUCUAACGUUGACCCGUAAUCCGGGUUGCGGACAGUGUCUGGUGGGUAGUUUGACUGGGGCGGUCUCCUCCUAAAGAGUAACGGAGGAGCACGAAGGUUGGCUAAUCCUGGUCGGACAUCAGGAGGUUAGUGCAAUGGCAUAAGCCAGCUUGACUGCGAGCGUGACGGCGCGAGCAGGUGCGAAAGCAGGUCAUAGUGAUCCGGUGGUUCUGAAUGGAAGGGCCAUCGCUCAACGGAUAAAAGGUACUCCGGGGAUAACAGGCUGAUACCGCCCAAGAGUUCAUAUCGACGGCGGUGUUUGGCACCUCGAUGUCGGCUCAUCACAUCCUGGGGCUGAAGUAGGUCCCAAGGGUAUGGCUGUUCGCCAUUUAAAGUGGUACGCGAGCUGGGUUUAGAACGUCGUGAGACAGUUCGGUCCCUAUCUGCCGUGGGCGCUGGAGAACUGAGGGGGGCUGCUCCUAGUACGAGAGGACCGGAGUGGACGCAUCACUGGUGUUCGGGUUGUCAUGCCAAUGGCACUGCCCGGUAGCUAAAUGCGGAAGAGAUAAGUGCUGAAAGCAUCUAAGCACGAAACUUGCC
rnacentral:rRNA from 1 species